UACGGAGGGGGCGAGCGUUGUCCGAAGUUACUGGGCGUAAAGGGCGCGUAGGCGGGUUGGCAAGUCUGCUGUGAAAGCCCGGAGCUUAACUCCGGAGGGUCGGUGGAUACUGCCAGUCUUGAAGGUGCCAGGGGGAGAUGGAAUUACCGGUGUAGCGGUGAAAUGCGUAGAUAUCGGUAGGAACACCAGUGGCGAAGGCGGUCUCCUGGAGCAUUCUUGACGCUGAGGCGCGAAAGCUGGGGGGAGCGAAACGGGG
rnacentral:rRNA from 1 species